GACGAACGCUGGCGGCGCGCUUAACACAUGCAAGUCGAGCGAGAACCAGGGCUUCGGCCCUGGGGACAGCGGCGAACGGGUGAGUAACACGUGGGUAAUCCACCCUCGGCACCGGAAUAGCCCGGGGAAACCCGGAUUAAUGCCGGAUGGCCCGCCGGCCCUGCGGGGCUGGUGGAAAAGGUAGCUUCGGCCUCCGGCCGAGGACGAGCCCGCGACGGAUUAGCUUGUUGGUGGGGUAACGGCCUACCAAGGCUGCGAUCCGUAGCUGGUCUGAGAGGACGAUCAGCCACACUGGGACUGAGACACGGCCCAGACUCCUACGGGAGGCAGCAGUGGGGAAUCUUGCGCAAUGGGCGAAAGCCUGACGCAGCGACGCCGCGUGAGGGAAGAAGGCCUUCGGGUUGUAAACCUCUUUCAGGAGGGACGAAGCCACUCGGGUUAAUAGCCCAGAGGGUGACGGUACCUCCAGAAGAAGCCCCGGCUAACUACGUGCCAGCCGCCGCCGUAACAC
rnacentral:rRNA from 1 species